rnacentral:rRNA from 1 species
CAAAUGAAUAAGAGCUUACGGUGGAUACCUUGGUAUUCAGAAGCGAUGAAGGGCGUGACUACCAGCGAAAUGCUUCGGGGAAUUGGAAGUAAAUUAUGAUCCGGAGGUUCCCGAAUAAGAAAACUUUUUAAACUACUUACUGAAUUUAUAGGUAAGAAAGAGCAAACCUAGUGAACUGAAACAUCUUAGUAGCUAGAGGAAAAGAAAGCAAAAGCGAUUUCCUUAGUAGCGGCGAGCGAACUGGAAUCAGCCUAAACCAUAUUUAAUAUGGGGUUGUGGGACAGCACUAAUAAGAUUAAAAAAGGUUAGAUGAAGCAGUUGGAAUACUGUAUCGUAGAAGGUGAAAAUCCUGUAAUCGAAAACUUGAUUUACUUAGUUGUAUCCCGAGUAGCAUGGGGCACGUGAAAUCCCGUGUGAAUCAGCGAGGACCACCUCGUAAGGCUAAAUAUUACUGAAUAACCGAUAGUGAAACAGUACCGUGAGGGAAAGGUGAAAAGAACCCCGGGAGGGGAGUGAAAUAGAACAUGAAACCGUAAGCUUACAAGCAGUGGAAGAACGACUUAACGUUUGACCUCGUGCCUGUUGAAGAAUGAGCCGGCGACUUGUAUGUAGUGGCAGGUUAAAGCAGAGAAUGCUGGAGCCAUAGUGAAAGCGAGCUUGAAUAGAGCGAUAGUCACUAUUUACAGACCCGAACCCGGAUGAUCUAGCCAUGGCCAGGAUGAAACUUAGGUAACACUAAGUGGAGGUCCGAACCGACUGAUGUUGAAAAAUCAACGGAUGAGCUGUGGCUAGCGGUGAAAUACCAAUCGAAUUCGGAGCUAGCUGGUUCUCCCCGAAAUGCGUUGAGGCGCAGCGGUUGAAAUUAAACUUAGGGGUAAAGCACUGUUUCGGUGCGGGCUGCGAAAGUGGUACCAAAUCGAUGCAAACUAAGAAUACUAAGUGAUGAAUCAAUCAGUGAGACAGUGAGGGAUAAGCUUCAUUGUCAAAAGGGAAACAGCCCAGACCACCAGUUAAGGCCCCUAAAUAGUUACUAAGUGGCAAAGGAGGUGGGAAUGCAUUAACAACCAGGAGGUUUGCUUAGAAGCAGCAAUCCUUUAAAGAGUGCGUAAUAGCUCACUGGUCUAGUGAUCCUGCGCCGAAAAUGAACGGGACUAAGUAACUUGCCGAAUCUGUGGGAUGUUUAUGCAUCGGUAGGGGAGCGUUCUGCUUAGAUUGAAGCAUUAAUGAAAGUGGAUGUGGACAAAGCAGAAGUGAGAAUGUCGGCUUGAGUAGCGAAAACAUUGGUGAGAAUCCAAUGCCCCGAAAACCUAAGGAUUCCUCUGGAA